rnacentral:rRNA from 1 species
GGGAUCGAAGAUGAUUAGAUACCAUCGUAGUCUUAACCGUCAACUAUGCCGACUUGCGAUUGUCCGAUGUUGUUUUGAACUGACUUGGGCAGCAGCACAUGAGAAAUCAAAGUCUUUGGGUUCCGGGGGGAGUAUGGUCGCAAGGCUGAAACUUAAAGGAAUUGACGGAAGGGCACACCAGGAGUGGAGCCUGCGGCUUAAUUUGACUCAACACGGGAAAACUUACCAGGUCCAGACAUAGUGAGGAUUGACAGAUUGAGAGCUCUUUCUUGAUUCUUUGGGUGGUGGUGCAUGGCCGUUCUUAGUUGGUGGAGUGAUUUGUCUGGUUAAUUCCGAUAACGAACGAGACCCCAACCUGCUAACUAGACUGUGUUAUCUUCCCGAGAGCGCAGCGCUUCUUAGAGGGACAUUUCGGAUUUACCGGAAGGAAGUUCGUG